GGAAGAAUGGUCGAGUGGUUUAAGGCAGCGGUCUUGAAAACCGCCGUAGCGCAAGCUACCCUGGGUUCGAAUCCCAGUUCUUCCGCCA
rnacentral:tRNA from 1 species